rnacentral:rRNA from 1 species
UGUGAAUUAAUUAUAAAGUCUAGCCUGCCCCCUGAUUUAUUUAAAGGGCCGCGGUAAUUUGACCGUGCGAAGGUAGCAUAGUCAGUAGUCUUUUAAUUGAAGGCUUGAAUGAAAGGUUGGACGAGGGAUAAGCUGUCUCCUUUACAUGAAUUUGAAUUUAACUUUUGAGUGAAAAGGCUCAGAUUGUUUAGUGGGACGAUAAGACCCUAUAAAACUUAAUAUAAGUUUGAUUUGACUUGUGAUUUAAGUGUAAAAGUAGUUUAAUUAGGUUUAUAUUUCGUUGGGGAGGCGUAGAUAUAAUAUGUAACUGUCUAUUUAAUUUAAUAAUUAUAAUUAGAAUGUGAUCCUUCUUUGUGGAUUAAAAGUAUAAGUUACUUUAGGGAUAACAGCGUAAUUUUCUUUGAGAGUUCUUAUCGACAAGAGUAGUUGCGACCUCGAUGUUGAAUUAAAAUUUUAGCUAGGUGAAGCCAUUUAGCUGGUAGGUCUGUUCGACCUUUAAAAUUUUACAUGAUUUGAGUUCAAACCGGU